AUUGAACGCUGGCGGCAGGCCUAACACAUGCAAGUCGAGCGGAUGAAGGGAGCUUGCUCCUGGAUUCAGCGGCGGACGGGCGAGUAAUGCCCAGGAAUCUGCCUGGCCGUUGGGGAUAACGUCCGGAAACGGGCGCUAAUACCGCAUACGUCCAGAGGGUGAAAGUGGUGGAUCUUCGGACCUCACGCUAUUAGAUGAGCCUAGGUCGGAUUAGCUAGUUGGGGGGGUAAAGGCCUACCAAGGCGACGAUCCGUAACUGGUCUGAGAGGAUGAUCGGUCACACUGGAACUGAGACACGGUCCAGACUCCUACGGGAGGCAGCAGUAGGGAAUAUUGGGCAAUGGGCGAAAGCCUGAUGCAGCCAUGCCGCGUGAGUGAAGAAGGUCUUCGGAUUGUAAAGCACUUUAAGUUGGGAGGAAGAGCAGUAAGUUAAUACCUUGCUGUUUUGACGUUACCAACAGAAUAAGCACCGGCUAACUUCGUG
rnacentral:rRNA from 1 species